UACGGAAGGCAGCAGUGGGGAAUAUUGCACAAUGGGCGCAAGCCUGAUGCAGCCAUGCCGCGUGUAUGAAGAAGGCCUUCGGGUUGUAAAGUACUUUCAGCGGGGAGGAAGGCGAUGCGGUUAAUAACCGCGUCGAUUGACGUUACCCGCAGAAGAAGCACCGGCUAACUCCGUGCCAGCAGCCGCGGUAAUACGGAGGGUGCAAGCGUUAAUCGGAAUUACUGGGCGUAAAGCGCACGCAGGCGGUCUGUUAAGUCAGAUGUGAAAUCCCCCGGGCUUAACCUGGGAACUGCAUUUUGAACUGGCAGGCUUGAGUCUUGUAGAGGGGGUAGAAUUCCAGGUGUAGCGGUGAAAUGCGUAGAGAUCUGGAGGAAUACCGGUGGCGAAGGCGGCCCCUGGACAAAGACUGACGCUCAGGUGCGAAAGCGUGGGGAGCAAACAGGAUUAGAUACC
rnacentral:rRNA from 1 species